rnacentral:lncRNA from 10 species
GCCAUUGGAAGCUCCACUCACCAGGUCCUGCAGAAACUCACAGUCCCUCGGGAAGUAGCCACCGGAAGAAAUGUCUACAAUGCAAUGCGGAAACAUGAGAGGCGAAUGAGGAGCAUCUUUACAAUAUCAGCAAUUGAAACUGAUAUGAAUGAAGACAAGAAUGAUGACUGCAUAACUCUUCGGAAUGCAAUUUCAAAACUGGACAUGAGUCCAGGGAAAUGGAACAAAACCCCGACCAUCCCAACGCCUGCAUGUGGGAAUCUCAGUGCCAAGCACUUCAUUAUGCAAAAUUUCACCGGACCCACUCUUCAAAAACAAUCAACCCAGUUUGAUGAUACUCCUCUCAGCUGAAGCCAUCAUAAUUCAGUUGCCCUUGGUUUUGUAGACCUAUUCUCCAACCUUCAAUUAUUUCCACUACUCUCAUUUGAGUAUUCUCAAAUUUCCAUCUUGUUACAAACAUGAUCGUCCGUGGUAAUGAUUAUUUUAGAAGCUACAUUUGUCAUUGUCAGUCUGAUAGUUCUUACAUGUAUGUAAGCUUUUUUUUUUUUUUCAAAUUAUCUCAGUUAAAUUAAAUCAUCCUUGGGGAAAUAAAAACAAACUUUUUUUUUUUUCCACUGACUCAAUACUGUCUACUUGAUUCCUUUAUUCCUACCAUCAUCUUUCAAGAAGCUGGUCUCCUCCACCUGAGUUCCCCUGUGAGAAAGGGUUUCAGUAGAAUAUUGCACUGUCUGUGGGGUGGUGUGUAAGUUGGAAGAAAUGUGAUUUAGUGAAUUUGGAAGUAUAUUGUCUGUCCCCAUGAUACUUAUAUAUCUGUUAUAAAUAAUUUCUUUUACUUUUCUUUUCAGAAAAUGAUUAGUUCACCCGAAAUGAGUCUGAAUGUCCCAGGUCUAUUGUUUCAGAACUGGAGCUGCAAUCCAUAGCCCUGUGAAUGUGGUUAUUAACUUAUUUUGGAAAUGCAAUCACAGACCACAGACUAUUUCAGUGAAACCAUGUCUAUCCCAUAUGUUGCAUUCCAUUUUGUUAGUGAACAGGGUCUGUUGUUGGUGCCACCUACUGUUAAGUUUAUUGAUGAGAACUUAAGCAUUUGGUCUCUAAGGAAAUACCCUGGGUCAUAUAUGUGCACCUGGUUUCGGUUGGGAAAAGUUUCAUCCUCCAACUAUGUCUUUGUGGCUGGAAAUUUUCAGCCACCACAACACAAAAGGUAAAAUAUAUGUCAUCUCAUCUCUAGGCACUAACAAAAUAGAAACAGAGAAGGUGUAUGGUCUAAACAGAACCAGAGAACAGUUCAGGCCUCACGUGCAGAGCGGCAUCCUAUCAUAAAACCUGGCCACAUGCUGCUAAAAUGGUGCAAAAUGCAGGUUUCCC